UCCGGUUGAUCCUGCCGGACCCGACUGCUAUUUGGGUGAGAAUAAGCCAUGCGAGUUGAAUGGGAUACCUAAAGUUCCCAUAGCAAACUGCUCAGUAACACAUGAUCAACUUACCCUAUAGAGAAAAAUAACCUCGGGAAACUGAGGAUAAUGUUUCAUAAUUGAAUUGGCUUGGAAAAGUUUUUCAAUGAAAGGGAUAAAAAAAAUGGUUUUUAUCUGCUAUAGGAUAGGAUCGUGUUCGAUUAUGGUUGUUGGUGAGAUAAUGGCUCACCAAGCCGAUAAUCGAUAGGGGCCGUGAGAGCGGGAGCCCCGAGAUGGGUACUGAGACAACGACCCAGGCCUUACGAGGCGCAGCAGGCGCGGAACCUCCGCAAUACACGAAAGUGUGACGGGGUUACCCAAAGUGUUCAAUAGAACUGUGGUAGGUGAGUAAUGUCCCCUACUAGAAAGGAGAGGGCAAGGCUGGUGCCAGCCGCCGCGGUAAAACCAGCUCUUCAAGUGGUCGGGAUAAUUAUUGGGCUUAAAGUGUCCGUAGCCGGUUUAGUAAGUUCCUGGUAAAAUCGGGUAGCUUAACUAUCUGCAUGCUAGGAAUACUGCUAUACUAGAGGGCGGGAGAGGUCUGAGGUACUACAGGGGUAGGGGUGAAAUCUUAUAAUCCUUGUAGGACCACCAGUGGCGAAGGCGUCAGACUGGAACGCGCCUGACGGUGAGGGACGAAAGCCAGGGGAGCGAACCGGAUUAGAUACCCGGGUAGUCCUGGCCGUAAACGAUGCAUACUAGGUGAUGGUACGGCCAUGAGCCGUAUCAGUGCCGUAGGGAAACCGUUAAGUGUGCCGCCUGGGAAGUACGGUCGCAAGGCUAAAACUUAAAGGAAUUGGCGGGGGAGCAC
rnacentral:rRNA from 1 species